AGCGAACGCUGGCGGCAGGCCUAACACAUGCAAGUCGAACGAACCUUUCGGGGUUAGUGGCGGACGGGUGAGUAACACGUGGGAACGUGCCUUUAGGUUCGGAAUAACUCAGGGAAACUUGUGCUAAUACCGAAUGUGCCCUUCGGGGGAAAGAUUUAUCGCCUUUAGAGCGGCCCGCGUCUGAUUAGCUAGUUGGUUGAGGUAAUGGCUCACCAAGGCGACGAUCAGUAGCUGGUCUGAGAGGAUGAUCAGCCACAUUGGGACUGAGACACGGCCCAAACUCCUACGGGAGGCAGCAGUGGGGAAUCUUGCGCAAUGGGCGAAAGCCUGACGCAGCCAUGCCGCGGGAAUGAUGAAGGUCUUAGGAUUGUAAAAUUCUUUCACCGGGGACGAUAAUGACGGUACCCGGAGAAGAAGCCCCGGCUAACUUCGG
rnacentral:rRNA from 1 species